GUUGUAUAGUCAAGUAAUUAAGUGCAUGUGGUGGAUGCCUUGGCAGUCAGAGGCGAUGAAAGACGUGAUAGCCUGCGAAAAGCUCCGGGGACGCGGCAAAUAUCCUUUGAUCCGGAGAUGUCUGAAUGGGGGAACCCACCUACUUUAAGGUAGGUAUUGCAACAUGAAUACAUAGUGUUGCAAGGCGAACGAGGGGAAGUGAAACAUCUCAGUACCCUUAGGAAAAGAAAUCAAUUGAGAUUCCCUCAGUAGCGGCGAGCGAACGGGGAUCAGCCCAUUAAGUUAUGUGUGUUUUAGUGGAACGCUCUGGGAAGUGCGAACGUAGAGGGUGAUAUUCCCGUACACGAAAGGGCACACAUAAUGAUGACGAGUAGGGCGAGGCACGUGAAACCUUGUCUGAAUAUGGGGGGACCAUCCUCCAAGGCUAAAUACUCCUGACUGACCGAUAGUGAACCAGUACCGUGAGGGAAAGGCGAAAAGAACCCCUGUGAGGGGAGUGAAAUAGAUCCUGAAACCGCAUGCAUACAAGCAGUGGGAGCACCUUCGUGGUGUGACUGCGUACCUUUUGUAUAAUGGGUCAGCGACUUAUAUUCAGUAGCGAGGUUAACCGUAUAGGGGAGCCGUAGAGAAAUCGAGUCUUAAUAGGGCGUUUAGUUGCUGGGUAUAGACCCGAAACCAGGCGAUCUAUCCAUGAGCAGGUUGAAGGUUGGGUAACACUAACUGGAGGACCGAACCCACUGUCGUUGAAAAGCCAGGGGAUGACUUGUGGAUAGGGGUGAAAGGCUAAUCAAGCCUGGUGAUAGCUGGUUCUCCCCGAAAGCUAUUUAGGUAGCGCCUCGGACGAAUACCAUAGGGGGUAGAGCACUGUUUCGGCUAGGGGGUCAUCCCGACUUACCAAACCGAUGCAAACUCCGAAUACCUAUGAGUACUAUCCGGGAGACAGACUGCGGGUGCUAACGUCCGUAGUCAAGAGGAAAACAAUCCAGACCGCCAGCUAAGGCCCCAAAAUCAUAGUUAAGUGGGAAACGAUGUGGGAAGGCAUAGACAGCUAGGAGGUUGGCUUAGAAGCAGCCACCCUUUAAAGAAAGCGUAAUAGCUCACUAGUCGAGUCGGCCUGCGCGGAAGAUGUAACGGGGCUAAAACUAUGUGCCGAAGCUGCGGAUGUAUACUUUGUAUACGUGGUAGGGGAGCGUUCUGUAAGCCGAUGAAGGUGUGUUGAGAAGCAUGCUGGAGGUAUCAGAAGUGCGAAUGCUGACGUGAGUAACGACAAAACGGGUGAAAACCCCGUUCGCCGAAAGACCAAGGGUUCCAGUCCAACGUUAAUCGGGGCUGGGUGAGUCGACCCCUAAGGCGAGGCCGAAAGGCGUAGUCGAUGGGAAAAUGGUUAAUAUUCCAUUACUUCUGUGUAAUGCGAUGAGAGGACGGAGAAGGCUAAAUCAGCCUGGCGUUGGUUGUCCAGGUGAAAGGAUGUAGGCAUGUAUCUUAGGCAAAUCCGGGGUACUCUAUGCUGAGAUCUGAUAGCAAGCUGUACUUGUACAGCGAAGUGGUUGAUGCCAUGCUUCCAGGAAAAGUCUCUAAGCUUCAGUUACACAGGAAUCGUACCCGAAACCGACACAGGUGGUCAGGUCGAGUAGACCAAGGCGCUUGAGAGAACUCUGCUGAAGGAACUAGGCAAAAUGGUACCGUAACUUCGGGAGAAGGUACGCUGUUGUUGGUGAUGGAACUCGCUUCCUGAGCUGACGACAGCCGCAGAAACCAGGCCGCUGCAACUGUUUAUUAAAAACAUAGCACUCUGCAAACACGAAAGUGGACGUAUAGGGUGUGAUGCCUGCCCGGUGCUGGAAGGUUAAUUGAUGGGGUUAGCGUAAGCGAAGCUCUUGAUCGAAGCCCCAGUAAACGGCGGCCGUAACUAUAACGGUCCUAAGGUAGCGAAAUUCCUUGUCGGGUAAGUUCCGACCUGCACGAAUGGCAUAAUGAUGGCGGCGCUGUCUCCAGCAGAGGCUCAGUGAAAUCGAAAUCGCUGUGAAGAUGCAGUGUACCCGCGGCUAGACGGAAAGACCCCGUGAACCUUUACUGCAGCUUGACACUGAACUUUGACCUUACUUGUGUAGGAUAGGUGGGAGGCUUUGAAGCUGGAACGCUAGUUCCAGUGGAGCCGUCCUUGAAAUACCACCCUGGUAAUGUUGAGGUUCUAACUCUGUCCCGUGAUCCGGGACGAGGACCGUGUCUGGUGGGUAGUUUGACUGGGGCGGUCUCCUCCUAAAGAGUAACGGAGGAGUACGAAGGUGCGCUCAGCGUGGUCGGAAAUCACGCGUAGAGUAUAAAGGCAAAAGCGCGCUUAACUGCGAGACCCACAAGUCGAGCAGGUACGAAAGUAGGUCUUAGUGAUCCGGUGGUUCUGUAUGGAAGGGCCAUCGCUCAACGGAUAAAAGGUACUCUGGGGAUAACAGGCUGAUACCGCCCAAGAGUUCAUAUCGACGGCGGUGUUUGGCACCUCGAUGUCGGCUCAUCUCAUCCUGGGGCUGAAGCAGGUCCCAAGGGUAUGGCUGUUCGCCAUUUAAAGAGGUACGCGAGCUGGGUUUAGAACGUCGUGAGACAGUUCGGUCCCUAUCUACCGUGGGCGCUGGAAAUUUGAGAGGAUCUGCUCCUAGUACGAGAGGACCAGAGUGGACGAACCUCUGGUGUACCGGUUGUGACGCCAGUCGCAUCGCCGGGUAGCUAUGUUCGGAAGGGAUAACCGCUGAAAGCAUCUAAGCGGGAAGCCUACCUCAAGAUAAGAUUUCCCUAGGACUUUAUGUCCUCUAAAGAGCCGUUCGAGACUAGGACGUUGAUAGGUUGGAUGUGGAAGCAUAGUGAUAUGUGAAGCUGACCAAUACUAAUUGCUCGUGAGGCUUGACUAUACAACACCCAAGCAGUUG
rnacentral:rRNA from 1 species